rnacentral:rRNA from 1 species
UACGUAGGGUGCAAGCGUUGUCCGGAAUUAUUGGGCGUAAAGAGCUCGUAGGCGGUUCGUCGCGUCGGCUGUGAAAUCCCGAGGCUCAACCUCGGGUCUGCAGUCGAUACGGGCGGACUGGAGUACUGCAGGGGAGACUGGAAUUCCUGGUGUAGCGGUGAAAUGCGCAGAUAUCAGGAGGAACACCGGUGGCGAAGGCGGGUCUCUGGGCAGUUACUGACGUGAGGAGCGAAAGCGUGGGGGAGCGAACAGG